AUGAACGCUAGCGACAGGCUUAACACAUGCAAGUCGAGGGGCAGCACAGGUAGCAAUACCGGGUGGCGACCGGCGCACGGGUGAGUAACGCGUAUGCAACUUACCUAUCAGAGGGGGAUAACCCGGCGAAAGUCGGACUAAUACCGCAUGAAGCAGGGGCCCCGCAUGGGGAUAUUUGCUAAAGAUUCAUCGCUGAUAGAUAGGCAUGCGUUCCAUUAGGCAGUUGGCGGGGUAACGGCCCACCAAACCGACGAUGGAUAGGGGUUCUGAGAGGAAGGUCCCCCACAUUGGUACUGAGACACGGACCAAACUCCUACGGGAGGCAGCAGUGAGGAAUAUUGGUCAAUGGGCGCGAGCCUGAACCAGCCAAGUCGCGUGAGGGAUGAAGGUUCUAUGGAUCGUAAACCUCUUUUAUAAGGGAAUAAAGUGCGGGACGUGUCCCGUUUUGUAUGUACCUUAUGAAUAAGGAUCGGCUAACUCCGUGCCAGCAGCCGCGGUAAUACGGAGGAUCCGAGCGUUAUCCGGAUUUAUUGGGUUUAAAGGGUGCGUAGGCGGCCUUUUAAGUCAGCGGUGAAAGUCUGUGGCUCAACCAUAGAAUUGCCGUUGAAACUGGGGGGCUUGAGUAUGUUUGAGGCAGGCGGAAUGCGUGGUGUAGCGGUGAAAUGCUUAGAUAUCACGCAGAACCCCGAUUGCGAAGGCAGCCUGCCAAGCCAUGACUGACGCUGAUGCACGAAAGCGUGGGGAUCAAACAGGAUUAGAUACCCUGGUAGUCCACGCAGUAAACGAUGAUCACUAGCUGUUUGCGAUACACUGUAAGCGGCACAGCGAAAGCGUUAAGUGAUCCACCUGGGGAGUACGCCGGCAACGGUGAAACUCAAAGGAAUUGACGGGGGCCCGCACAAGCGGAGGAACAUGUGGUUUAAUUCGAUGAUACGCGAGGAACCUUACCCGGGCUUAAAUUGCAGAUGAAUUACGGUGAAAGCCGUAAGCCGCAAGGCAUCUGUGAAGGUGCUGCAUGGUUGUCGUCAGCUCGUGCCGUGAGGUGUCGGCUUAAGUGCCAUAACGAGCGCAACCCUUGCCACUAGUUACUAACAGGUAAAGCUGAGGACUCUGGUGGGACUGCCAGCGUAAGCUGCGAGGAAGGCGGGGAUGACGUCAAAUCAGCACGGCCCUUACAUCCGGGGCGACACACGUGUUACAAUGGCGUGGACAAAGGGAAGCCACCUGGCGACAGGGAGCGAAUCCCCAAACCACGUCUCAGUUCGGAUCGGAGUCUGCAACCCGACUCCGUGAAGCUGGAUUCGCUAGUAAUCGCGCAUCAGCCAUGGCGCGGUGAAUACGUUCCCGGGCCUUGUACACACCGCCCGUCAAGCCAUGGGAGCCGGGGGUACCUGAAGUCCGUAACCGCGAGGAUCGGCCUAGGGUAAAACUGGUGACUGGGGCU
rnacentral:rRNA from 1 species